rnacentral:pre_miRNA from 1 species
GGGGGGAGGCCGUAUCCUGGGCUGUGUCCCCGGCACCCUGGGCUCCCGGGCCUGCGCUGCUGGAAUCGUGCUCCUGGCCACACAGCCCCCU